UCAUUUAAAAUUUAAAGAGGAAAAAAGUAGUAAAGAUGAGACCCUUUCAUAAUGUAAGAUCGUCAAUCAAAGUACAAAAAAACUCUGUAUAUAUGUUUAUAAAGAACAAAAAAAGGAUCAAAAGGUAAAUCAUGCGUCAAACCAACAUCUCAGAGUCAAGAGGUGCAGGUUGGUGCAGAAGAAGACGAGCCGUAUUUAUGAAAAGAUAGGAUGAAAAAUGCGAGCUAUGCCGUUAGUUAGUCUAUGUAUUUAUAGUUAUACAAAUCAUUUAGGGUUGCCAAGUCGUCUAGAAAAUAUUUACAGUAUCUCACCAUUAAAUGUUUAUUAACUAAUUUAUACAACGAUGACAAUAAACUUAUAACAUAUAUUUUGCGUGAUAAGUAAUCUAGCUUGGGCUAGAAGUACUCGAAUAUUAACUGCUUGCAAACAAAGAUAUGGAAAAUCAGAGGAUACUCACGAUCACAUAAUAAAUAUACACUUAAAGUUUCAUUUUUAAAUCACGAAUACAACGGUUUAACGAAUACAGUGGUUUAACGGUGUCAAGUCAAUGGGCCUUAAUAAUAACAGGGCUUCUCAGAGUUAGAUAUAUGCAUUAAUAUACACUAAUCCCCUAAUACACUAAUACACUAAUGUUUCUUAAUGUCAUCCAUUUUAUUUUUCUAGUUAUGUUGGUCCACUUUAAAAAUGACUCUGAGAAUGGCUGAGGCGACGACACGUCACCACUAAUCCCAUAAGUUACAACUUAAAAAUGUUCCACAGAUAAUAUAUAUAGGGGAUAUACACCGCUAAUACGUGUUUUCCGAAUAAGCUAGUUGAAUUAGAUUCUUGUUAUGAUUCAGAGAAUAUUCGACCAAGAUAUGCAUACUAAUUAACGUCAUAUCAAAUAUAUAUUAUGAAAUGUUAUAAUCAUUGAGUUGUUUCUUCCCAAUUUUAAAACCACAACAAAAAAGUUUGUGUACAUAAUCUUGAAUAUAGCCCACAAAUUCGAGUAGGACAUAUUCGAAUAAAUUCACAACUGUCCACACCCCACAUUUGGUUUCGCAUCAGUAUCUCACUCUACUCUAAACAGAGAUGAAUGGCUUGUUGUUUGCUAACAAUGCUUACUAUAACAGCUUUAAACUUUGAUAAAAAAAAAAAACAGCUUAAAACAUGUAUAGAUAACAUCUGAAGCCUCUGAAACUUUAGACUUGAGUGACUCUGGUGAAUCCAUCAGGUGCAGAAUCUCUGCUUGAUCCAUCUCCAACAACAUUCUAGUGAUGAUGAGGGUGAUAUUAACAUGCCAAUCUUAUCAACAAUCCUUUACGUAUUCUUUAUCAGAUGUUUAAAGUUAAGGAUUUGUUUAGAAAUAUACACCAAAUGUAAAACCAAACGCAAAAUAAAUAUAUAAAUCGAAAAAGCUAAAACUCUGAUGAUAAUUCUCAGACGAAAAAAAAAAGUCAUUUAAAAUUUAAAGAGGAAAAAAGUAGUAAAGAUGAGACCCUUUCAUAAUGUAAGAUCGUCAAUCAAAGUACAAAAAAACUCUGUAUAUAUGUUUAUAAAGAACAAAAAAAGGAUCAAAAGGUAAAUCAUGCGUCAAACCAACAUCUCAGAGUCAAGAGGUGCAGGUUGGUGCAGAAGAAGACGAGCCGUUCUCUUUCUUACCUUGUGUUUCCUCAAUAGCAAAUGACUCGUCCAAGAACCCAUCAACCUUAGCUCUUUCCACGCAACAUGAAAACUUCUCCGCAGCA
rnacentral:lncRNA from 1 species